rnacentral:rRNA from 1 species
CGAACUAGAUUAGAUAGCCUGGUACUCCGUACAGAAACGGCUGGGCGUUAGGUGUUCGUACUUUCCUCUCUGUCCGGCACGUAACUCACUCAUUUCGCCCCCUGCCUGGGGAGUCCGCCCGCAAGGCAGUAAAUGAAAUGGAUGGGGGGGGGCCCCCGGGAGGGGCGGUGCGUGUUACUUAAUCCGAACCAAAACUACCUACCCAAACAAUGUCCGACAUCAGCAAGGUCCCUGCACAGAUGCGGGGUCAUUUACUUGGUACAUGUCGGGCAGUGCAGUGGUCUCCUUAGCUCGCGCGGUGAGAGGUUAAGUCCAGUACCGAGACCAACCCACCCCCUGUUCCAUCUGCCCAGCAUGGAAUGGUGGGGACUCAUGGGAGACCCCCGGGGUCAAAUCCGAGGAAAGGGGGGACGACGGCCAGUUCACAAUCCCCUUAAUUUCUGGGCUGCCAACAGGGCACCAACGCCCGGUCAAAGGACGUGCGAUACCGUGAGGUGGAUAGAAUCCCAAAAAGCCGGUCUCAGUUCGGAUUGGGGUCUGCAACUCGACCCCAUGAAGGCGGAGUCGCUAGUAAUCGCAGAUCAGCAUUGCUGCGGUGAAUACGUUCCCGGGCCUAGUACACACCGCCCG